CAUAUAUUUUGCGAUAUCCUGAUGAUGUGAUAACUGACCAAGGAGUUGAUUUCUUGGUCAUCCGUGUUAAGUUACUUUUUAAAAGCUGGAUCCAGACCCGCUGUAACUUUUUGAUGGCUUGGGUUAGGGCAGUGUGGCAAGAAAGGAAAAGUCAAGAAGAAGGGACGGUGCCAGACAGCUGGGUAGACAGAAAAAAUGUUACUGUUCUGGCCAAAUAUUGCAAAUGCAACAUGACAUUUGUAGGAACGCCGCAAACCAUCUGAGGGUUGGAGAAAGUUUCCUCUUCUGAAAGAGAAGAUGAGAUCUUAUGACUUUAAAGAAUGUGACAACUGCGACUUCACAAGUAGUACAGAAGCUGAAGAAGGGGCACUGGAAGCAAAAAGAAG